GAUGAACGCUGGCGGCGUGCCUAAUACAUGCAAGUCGAACGCUUUGUGGUUCAACUGAUUUGAAGAGCUUGCUCAGAUAUGACGAUGGACAUUGCAAAGAGUGGCGAACGGGUGAGUAACACGUGGGAAACCUACCUCUUAGCAGGGGAUAACAUUUGGAAACAGAUGCUAAUACCGUAUAACAAUGACAACCGCAUGGUUGUUAUUUAAAAGAUGGUUCUGCUAUCACUAAGAGAUGGUCCCGCGGUGCAUUAGCUAGUUGGUAAGGUAAUGGCUUACCAAGGCGAUGAUGCAUAGCCGAGUUGAGAGACUGAUCGGCCACAAUGGGACUGAGACACGGCCCAUACUCCUACGGGAGGCAGCAGUAGGGAAUCUUCCACAAUGGGCGAAAGCCUGAUGGAGCAACGCCGCGUGUGUGAUGAAGGGUUUCGGCUCGUAAAACACUGUUGUAAGAGAAGAAUGACAUUGAGAGUAACUGUUCAAUGUGUGACGGUAUCUUACCAGAAAGGAACGGCUAAAUACGUGCCAGCAGCCGCGGUAAUACGUAUGUUCCAAGCGUUAUCCGGAUUUAUUGGGCGUAAAGCGAGCGCAGACGGUUAUUUAAGUCUGAAGUGAAAGCCCUCAGCUCAACUGAGGAAUUGCUUUGGAAACUGGAUGACUUGAGUGCAGUAGAGGAAAGUGGAACUCCAUGUGUAGCGGUGAAAUGCGUAGAUAUAUGGAAGAACACCAGUGGCGAAGGCGGCUUUCUGGACUGUAACUGACGUUGAGGCUCGAAAGUGUGGGUAGCAAACAGGAUUAGAUACCCUGGUAGUCCACACCGUAAACGAUGAGUGCUAGGUGUUUGAGGGUUUCCGCCCUUAAGUGCCGCAGCUAACGCAUUAAGCACUCCG
rnacentral:rRNA from 1 species